AGUGAACGCUGGCGGUAGGCCUAACACAUGCAAGUCGAACGGCAGCACAGGAGAGCUUGCUCUCUGGGUGGCGAGUGGCGGACGGGUGAGGAAUACAUCGGAAUCUACUUUUUCGUGGGGGAUAACGUAGGGAAACUUACGCUAAUACCGCAUACGACCUACGGGUGAAAGCAGGGGAUCUUCGGACCUUGCGCGAUUGAAUGAGCCGAUGUCGGAUUAGCUAGUUGGCGGGGUAAAGGCCCACCAAGGCGACGAUCCGUAGCUGGUCUGGGAGGAUGGUCAGCCACACUGGAACUGGGACACGGGCCAGACUCCGACGGGAGGCAGCAGUGGGGAAUAUUGGACAAUGGGCGCAAGCCUGAUCCAGCCAUACCGCGUGGGUGAAGAAGGCCUUCGGGUUGUAAAGCCCUUUUGUUGGGAAAGAAAUCCAGCUGGUUAAUACCCGGUUGGGAUGACGGUACCCAAAGAAUAAGCACCGGCUAACUUCGCGCCAGCAGCCGCCGUAA
rnacentral:rRNA from 1 species